GCAAUGGUUUUCACCAGUGCUAGUGUAAAAACAGAGGACAUGGCAACACGGACAGUUGUUAUGUCUCGGGUUGUCUGCUAGAGGACAGCGCUUCUUUCAGGAGGAAGUCUCUCUCUCUCUCUCUCACUCUCUUGCGCUCUCUCACACACACACUGUUGGAUAUAGUGACUAAACAAAUAACAUAAAUAAUGUUUACGGACAGACUGAAGGCUUUUCUGGGGAUUUGCCCUUCUUAAAUGACCGAAAUUGAAAGUCCGCCCUCUGGCUGAUGUGCGCAUGCGCGUUGUUGUUCUUCUCCGUCUGAUCUUACGCAAUUUAGGGAGUGCGGUUCUUCUCUCAGUAUCUUCAUGUGAUCAUCAGCUCAUCAUCAGAAAUGAGAUGAGCAGGUUUUCUUACUCCUAGCUGUGACUCUUUAACAACAACAAUAAUAAUAGUAAUAAUAAUAAAAUUCGAUGACUGUAUGGAUUCUUCUCUCUGCCUAUUUAGUAAAUAAGAUAAAAUUCUGAAGGACUUGCUUCUUCCGGAUCUAAAAAAAGAUGGGGUGAAGCUUUAUUUCCAGAAGAUCAGAAAAGUUGCUUCAGAUUAAACUGAAAAAGUUGGAAAAAUACAGUUUCAAGGUUGGAACUUUGAAAGAAACAUCAUACAAAGAUGAGCCCGAGAUGUUUGAGGAGUGGGAGCAGUUCUACCUCCCAGAGCACAUGUUCAUGGAGGUGAUUGGUGUUGUUGAGAAGUUCCCCUGUAACUCCCCCAAUGAUGAGCUGGUGCUGAUGCUGUGUGAGGACGGGAAGGUGUUUGCUUUUGAAGGUAACAGGCUGCAUCUUGUUUCUAACAACCUGGAAGAACUGUUUAAGAAUGGCCUCCAGUUUCCAGGAAUCGAGCGAUAUUACCGUGGGCAAAGCUUUGAGGACCUGGGCGAAGGAGUUGGAGAAUAACUGCAAUUUUGCACACAAUGCUUUCAUCCUCUUCAACAAAGCCACUGAAAUAUUCGCUGAAUGUUUUGGCACUGACCCACCAAUGGAUGUGAAGCAGAAACUGGAUCAGGUGAGUGGAACUGCUUUUAACAUACAAAAGGGGCUUUUAAUCUCAGUGUUUAGAGUGAUCAGAAAGUUCGAGAACUGGUAAUAGACAGUGAUAAUAAACUGAUGACAUUAAUAUUCAGCUGUAAUACUGACUACACCCCUUCACUGUGAGGUCAAAUAAUAACUUACACAAUUUACAUUUUCAUUAUACCUAUUUCAUUUCCAUUCUCUCUCUUUGUUCUCUCUCUUUAUUCUCUCUUGAAGUUAAUAAGAAAAAAAAGCAGGUUGUCGUGUUACUGAGAAACCGCAAAGAAGCGUAAACUCCUCUGUCCUGAAGAUGUCAGAAACUUUACUUGUCUCAUAUAAUAUUCUUUACUUUUUCUGUAAAGAAACCGCAUCCUGUUCUUAUGUUACAUUCAUUCAUGUUACCGCGCAGAAGUAAUCUUUGCUCAGAUGGAAAUAUUAAACAGAACAAAGACAUAUUUCCCAAAACCAUUCGAGCAAUACCAAACCCACGCGGCUCUACAGAAACCUUUCUCCUUCCUCCUGGAACUGGUCACAAAAUGCUACAGCCAAUACGAUGAAUUCAUAGUGAAGGAUAUGCUGUCUGAAAUAUUAGAUGGUUGUAAAAAAAUCAGGUGUUCUAUUCCCUCUGAUUUCCACUGUCAUAUGUCACCAAGCGUAUGGUCCAGAUACUAUGGAGCGUCUCUGUCCUGUGAAAGUGACCCACAGAGAGAGCUCAUGACUGCUGUGUCCUGUGUGAAUGUUUGGCAUCCCAAAGUUUCCUCUGCUGUGAUGUCUGUGUUUCCUGACGGCGAUGGAGAACCACACAGAAUACUCUAUCUGGGAGUUCUAAAGUGUAGAGCGUAUGCAAUAGAGGGCCUGAGGCAGCUGAAACCACCUUGUGAGACCUGCAAUAAGCUUUAUUCUCUUCCUGGUCACACACAGUCCAAAUCCCCCUGGUAACUGUGCUGAGACAGAGGCAAUCAGUAAUCUCUUCAAAGCAGAAGGGUGUGUGUCUGAUCAGACCACCAUCACUGGAGAUGUUUAUGAUCACCAGGAGAUUAAGCAAAAUAUGGAAAGUAACUUUAGAAACAACAUGCAAAAACUAAUGAAAAAAGGGGAUAGUAAUUAUGUUAUUGAUAAUGUCUAUCCUCCCAAUUAUCCUGAAUCUGUACGAUCAUCUAACUGAAUUAUGCACGCACACACACACACACACACACACACACACACACACACACACACACACACACACACACACAUAUAUAUACACACUGUGAUGUGUUAGCUUAAGAACCUCAUUAUGUUGUGACAAAUAUUUUCUAGUUCUAUUUGAUCAGUUAAAGAUAUUCAGGAACAUUGUCCUCAUUCAUUCAGAUACCUAAAAAAAAAAAAAACAGUCUAUACUAUAAAAACGUAUUAAAGAACAUACAUGCGGUCAUGUGAAAAAGUAUGUACUCUGAAUGGAAAUUGUUGAUUUUGUUGACAUAUUUGGGCAAGCAAAUAUUUGAUCCUCUUUGAAACCAUGCCUAUUCAUAAAAUUGAUACACUAUCAAAUGACACAUAAAAUCGACAUUUUGUAGUAAUUUUUCACAAUUAAAAAAAACAAAACAAAACAGAUCAGUCACAUUGAAAAAGUAAGCACACCCCUACAUUUAUGAUAACUUCAAAUCCAUAAAACAUCCAUAGAAUCAGGUGUUCGAGAUUGGGUGCCAGUGAUUAGAACCUGCUUAGGGAGUGCAGGUGGAACCUGUGUUAUUUAUACCAUCUCAUAUCUAGUGUCUGGUGUUCUCUUUGUUAUUGACAUGUGUGGUGUCAUCAUGCCAAGAUCUAAGGUUCUGUAAGGCCUUCAGAAAAAAAAAGCUUGUGAAUGCCUAUGAGUCUGGAAAGGGAUUUAAAAAGAUUUUCCAAUUAUUUGAAAUACAUCAUUCCACUGUAAGGAAAAUAAUCUACAAAUGGCACAGAUUCAGGACUGGCCAUCCCAGCAAAUUCAGCCCAAGAGCAGACCGUCUGAUGAAAGAAUGUCUCCAAGAACCACAAAAUUUCGUCACAGGAUCUGUUAGUAAGUCUUGCAACUGUUGAUGUCAAAAUGCAUGUUUCUACAAUCAGAAAGAAAUUUUCCUGGCAUGCCAGGAAAACACCUUUGCAAGACUAUAGUUUGCCAGUGAGCAUAUAGACAAAGACCAUUUUGUAAUCAUUUGGAAUAAUGUACUCUGGCCAGCCAAAUUAAAAAUAGAAUUGUUUGGCCACAGUAACAGCAGACAUGUUUGGCACAGACAGCUUUUCAGGAGAAGCACCUCAUACCAACUGUGAAGCACGGUGGUGGAAAUGUUAUGGUUUGGGGUUGCUUCACUGCCUCAAGGACUGGACAGCUUGCAUUCAUUGACUCAACUAUGAAUUCUGAAUCAUAUCAAAGAGUGCUUGAAGACAAUGUGAAGCCAUCUCUCCGAAAGUUGAAGCUGAACUGAAAGUGGAAAAUUCAACAGGAUAAUGAUCCUAAGCACACUAGCAAAUCCACAAAGGAAUCACUCAAAAAGAAGAAAUGGGGGGUUAUGGAAUGGCCUAGACAAAGCACGGAUUUGAAUUACACUGAAAUGUGGGGGGAUCUGAAACAGGCAGUACAUACAUGGAAGAGUGGUCAAAAAUUCCAGCAAGCCUGGUGCACAAUUAUGCAAAAUGUCUACAAUAAGUUAUUUCUGCUAAAGGGGGCGACACUAGCUUUUGAGGACAAGGGUGUACCUACUUUUUCCACAGAAGAAUAUCACAUCUAUUUAUAUUUCUGUUGAAAAAAGCUAAUUUUCCUUGUUGGUUUGUUCAAGUAUAUCAACUUUAUUAAUAAAGUUUCUAAAGAGGAUCAAAUGCUUGCUUGUCCAAAUAUGUCAAAAAAAAACCCCAACAGUUUCCAUGGGGUGUACUUAUUUUUCCACAUGACUGUACAUCUGCCUCAGGGGAAGUCUCAGGUAAAAGUAAUUGGGUGUCCUUUUAUAUCUUCUGCUCUUUAGUUGCUCGGACAUGAUUAUGUCCUGCUGAAUGCUGUUUCAGCUGGGACAGUCCACCAUAAGUGACAGAAAAAACUCUACAGCAAACUAUUCAUUUUAUCUUGUAUUUAUUCCCAGUGACAGAAACAUACUGUAUGCCACCUCGAUGGCCUCUUGCUUUUCAUGGGCGAACUUGCAUUUUUUAAGAACCGCACAACUGAGUGUCCAUAACCAGGGCAACGCUGAUGUUCUCACACAGCGCGUACCUGUAAUUCUCUUGUCCCAUACCACUGAUUUAGAAGCAAACUAAUUUGAUUUUAUUUACUAUGAUGUUAUUCUCACUACUGUGAAGACCUGGUGUAGUAGAUAUAAAAAGUCUACACACCAAUGUUAAAAUUGCAGGUUUUUGCUAUGUAAAAAUAAAAAAAAUUUAAAAAAACAAUAAAUCAUCAGAUCUUUUUUCUACCUUUAACAAAAUUCAAGUGGAGAAACAAAUAGAAAUGUUUCAAGGGGGAAAAAAAUGAUAAUAAAAAAAAAAUUACAGUAACAUGGUUGCAUAAGUAGUGCAUAAGCCUGACCAAGUUAUGCCAGUUCUGUUAGUUAGGAGUAAUAAUUCUUCUUAAGUACUGUGAGAGACUUAUGGAAGGCUACCACAAGCAUUUGAUUCAAGUACAAACAAUUAAAAAACAAUGCUACCAAAUACUAACAAAGUAUGUGCAAACAUUUGACCCACUGAAAAUCUGCAAUAGUAAAUAAAAGCUUAAAUAUAUGUGUCUCUUAUUUAUUAUUUUGUAAUAACAUCUUGUGGAAAUAAAGUAGACACUUUAAUUGACUUUAACACAGGAAAUAUAUGGUAACAUGAAAUGUGUAAAACUGAGACAUGAAAAUUUAGUUUGAAUGCCUUUAGUCUAUGUGUAUGUAAACCUUUGGCCUCAAUUGUACAGACAUCCUCUUAACAAAUUAAUCUGCUCUCUCUAAGCUUCUUUUUCUAACUAUUAUUUCAAGAGUUGAUCUUUAAUUCAAUUUGUGUUACGUUCACCAUAAAUCAAUCUGUUGAAAACAUGAAGAUUAAAUGUCAAUGAACCAUCUUUUUAUGCUGUAAUCAAGAGAAAAGCAAUUACAUUUUCCUCAACUAAUACAUAUCUCGGUAUAUCCAUACCUCUGGUAUUAUUUUGCAAGACCCUUCCUUUCAAGUACAUUAAUCAGAAAAUUGCUCAUGACACUCCUUUAUCAUGUACUAUGCUGUUUGUGUGAUAAUGGCAUGUUUAAUGGCAUGCGUAAUGUAUGUGUAAUCCUUCCAUUUUCCUGAAAUGCACAGACACCUCAGUGUGAUGAGAUGGGUGUUGGCAAAUGUUACCUUCUGGUCAGAGAGUGGCUGAUGUUGAGACAUUUAAACU